GAUGAACGCUGGCGGCGUGCCUAAUACAUGCAAGUCGAGCGAACAGACGAGGAGCUUGCUCCUCUGACGUUAGCGGCGGACAGGUGAGUAACACUUGUAUAACCUACCUAUAAGACUGGGAUAACUUCGGGAAACCGGAGCUAAUACCGGAUAAUAUAUUGAACCGCAUGGUUCAAUAGUGAAAGACGGUUUUGCUGUCACUUAUAGAUUUAUCCGCGCCGCAUUAGCUAGUUGGUAAGGUAACGGCUUACCAAGGCAACUAUGCGUAGCCGACCUGAGAGGAUGAACGGCAACAGUGGAACGGAGAGACGGAACAGACUACUACGGGAUGAAGCAGUAGGGAACAGUACGAAAUGAGCGAAAGCCUGACGGAGCAACGCCGCGUGAGUGAUGAAGGUCUUCGGAUCGUAAAACUCUGUUAUUAGGGAAGAAGAAAUGUGUAAGUAACUAUGCACGUCUUGACGGUACCUAAUCAGAAAGCCACGGCUAACUACGUG
rnacentral:rRNA from 1 species